CACCCACCAACACAAAGUUUGUGUAUUUUCUAGCAUCCUUUCCUAACAGUUACGCUCCGUUCAUUAGAGGGAGCAAAAAUGUUCCUGUGGCUAAACUUAGUGUCCUUUCUAGCAGUCCUCAGAGGAGUCCAAUCUCAGGUCCAGUUGGUGGAGUCUGGAGGGGAUGUGAGAAGACCUGGAGGGUCCCUCCGUCUCUCCUGCCAAGCCUCAGGAUUCACCUUCAGCAGCUACCACAUGAACUGGGUGAGACAGGCUCCAGGAAAAGGCCUGGAAUGGGUGGCAUUCAUAAGCACCAAUUCUGGUACUAUUCGCUACUCAGACAAAGUGAAGGGCCGCUUCACUAUCUCCAGGGACAAUGCCAAAAGCCAGCUGUAUCUGCAGAUGAACAGCCUCAAAGCUGAAGACACGGCAGUCUAUUACUGUACGAGAGACACAGUGAGAGGAAGUGAAUCUGAAGCCAGGCAAAAACCUACCAUUCCUCAGAGGACUCUGCAAGUCCUUUCACACUCAGAAGGCUGCAUUUUUCAAUGA